rnacentral:lncRNA from 1 species
GGCUCCUUCUGCACAGUGAGGACAAAUAAAAACCCCAAAGACACGCCCCCAGCUACCUGCCUCCUCCAACCACACCCUACCUGCCUUUCGUUAACACUUAGUUGAUCUAUUUCAGUGAUUUAAUCCAAUGAUCAACUCACAGCUCUUAUAAUCUAAUCAGUUCACCUCUGAAGGUUCUUGCAUUGUCUAGCACAUGACAAUGGGUGGUACCUCUUAUAUAAACCUUAACUGUUUAAGUUUUUAUUUAAACAAAGGACAACAAAGAUAAAAAGUAUUUUAUCCUGGAUCACUAAGAGUUUGGUUGUCAAUAACAACAUAGGAAUACACUGGAAAGGCAUGUAAUAUGAUAAAAUGCAUUAUUUGGAAGAAUGGGGAAUACUAGCCUGAUGUUAGGACACUAGCACAGAACAGGCCCAACUAAAGGAUGGGUUCUUCCUGGGAACCAUCUGGAAGACAUGAAGUCAGGAUGUCCUUCUGUCUGCUGCUUUGAUUGCUAUAACUCAGCUGCAGGAUAUAAGUGGGGAGUUCCCUGUAGAACUGGGCGUACCAGCUCUGUUACUCCUCAUUGCCUCUCCCCAAAAUCAGUUCCAAAUCAGUUUUCAUGCAUCAUUUUAACAGCAUCUGAAUCAUUUCUGGAGCUUGACCUAUAAGAGAUUCAAGGAAAUGUGGAUGUGCCAUAUCAUAGAAGGGAAAAUUAGAGGAAGCUGGAUGGAUGUGGAGAUAGUCAUCCAUUUCAGGCCUACAGUGUAGAUGGAAUAUCACGUUGUGAUAGCUGUCUUCAUGAAACUUACUGUCAUGUGUAGGAGAUGAAAACAAAUUGGAUAUUAUUAAGUUAUAAUAUCAAUUCCAGGAACUGGCAAUUCAGAUUGAGAUCUAGAACAGAGUGAUCCACAAGCUCCCACCCCAUGUGGACUGGAUGAGAGUAAGGGUCUUCCUUGCACUGGAUGGAAUCCAAGCUCCUGAAAGAAGACAGGGGUGUGGAUGUGGUGGCAUGAGCCUGGGAAGGAAAAGCUGCAGGUCUCAGUGGCUCCACAGGCUCAGUAUUGCUCUUGAUCCUAAAUCAUUAGGAAGCAAGGGAACAGCAACAACCAGACAGGGGUUUUGAAGCAGGAUUUGGUUCCAAAUCAGAGCUCCAGAUAAAGCAGAACUGUAUUUCCACCUCCUGUUUUGCUUGAUUUUGUGCCUCUUGUUUUUAUUUGUUUCAUUGUUUUUAUUUGGAAAGCCAAAUUUCUUGAAAGCCACCAGUUUUCUUUUCUUUUAUGAGAUAGUUUUAAGUGUCUUGGGAGCAGGACAAGAGCAGUGGCAUUGAGGAAGAGAUACAUGGAGGAAAAUAGGGUUCCAGAUCCCUGAGGUCUCUUUCUGUUGCAGACACUGGGCUGGUGGUAGCCAUCCCAGAGAAAUUCGAUGAUUGCAGGUGAGGGGAGGGGAGUAGCUGUGCUCAGCCAAAAUUCACCUGCUGUGGGAAUGGAGGGAAGGUACAGAAAGGGGUCAGAGGAUUCCUAAAUUAACCUCCUACCUUCUAUUGGGAACAGAUCUGGUGGUUAUACUUAGCUGGUGUAGCUAAGGGAACUGUCAUGUCAUGACCUUUUUUAGUAGGCGGAUCUUUAGAUCUUGUUGUUCCUCUCUGUCCAAAUUUAUUUGCCUUAGGAUUCAAAUACUUUCCAUCUUGUAUUAAGGACUUUAUUCAUCAAUUGAGAUUUUUCUUGACAUAUGCUAAUGAAAGAGCUAAGUUUCUUUAAUUAUCCAACUUGUGAAAACUUGUUAUUUUUAAUGUUUUAACAUUCUCUGUAAAAUACUGUUGACUUUUA